AAUCAUCUAUUAAUGUACUGAAUAGGUAUUACUUUUGUAUCGGGGGUGUUGUUAACGCAAACUCUGCAUCUCUUUGGAUUUACAGUUGUUUAUAGCAAAAGAAAAAAAUCUUUGUUUUUCUUUUUUCUUCUUUUUAUUUAAACAACAGUGGAAAAGACUCACGUUCGCAAUGCGCAAAGCAUUAGAAAGAUACCGGUGGAAGACGCAGCUCGCGGGCGCCCUUUGCAGAAGAUGCUGGGAAAUGUAGUUCCUGUUGGCCGCGUGCGCAGGCGUACUUCUUGGCUUGGGCACCUCAUCGUACGACAGUGCUCUUUAUUUUUCUGUGGAGCAGCUCUGCUUUCUCAGGUCUCUACUUACUUCUAUAAGAUGGCAUCAAGAAGAAGGACCUGACCACUGGCCCCUGACUACAUGGUCUUUGGAAGGAAGACAGACAUUGGAAGUAGAACAUUGAGGUACAAUGAAUGUAAUGAUGUAACGAGAGGAAAAGUACAAGGUGCUGUGAGUUCAUUUUUGCAGGAACCAGUGGCAUUGGAAGAUGUCAGAGACAUGGCACAUGGAUGUGAUCUUCAAAAACUGUUACAGCCUCAUCUCAUUGGAAUUCCUGAAGACUACUUAGGACAUAAUUCUAGGAUCCAUGGAUGUUAUCUUCCAACUAAGAAGAACCAUAUAAAUAGAUAACAAAGGAAAAAUGGAGAAAUGUCACAAAAUACCAGCCAGGAAAGAAUCAGAUAACGAAAACAACCAAGCAGACAGGAAUCCUUGUAAAUAAGAGUCCAUUUAUCCAUUAUGGUGGUGCUAGUAACAAUAGUGGUACUAGGAGAUAGCUUUUGAAAUGUUGAUUAGGGUCCUCUGUGCAGAGCCCCUCAUCUGUAUUUUAAAAACCUGCAUUCAUCCAGUAGAAGCAACAGCAACCUCAUUUCUAUAUAACUUUAUCUAUCUUCUCACAUAUCUCUUGAUCUCAGAGGAAGAUUGGCCCUCUUCCGUUGUUAGUCUUUCCAUUCUGUACUUCAGAUUCCAUUAUUUUUUACUUAUUUUAGGGCCUGAUUUAAUGACUGUUUUAUGAUUCAGUCUCUCCAGUUCACCAGCUCCUUUCCUUCAAGACAUUAAAAAGGUUUUCUUGCUUUUAAAAUAACAUGUUGCCUAAACAUUUUUUAUCUGCCUUUCAAAAUUAUUCUGUCAUUACCAAAUGUUUCAAACUUGUAACUAAUAUCCUCAAUUCCUGUUCUCUUUUAAUCUUUGGAGUUAGAUUCUUGUCUUCUGCUAAAAUUAUUUUGAGGAGAUUCUUGAAUUCUUUCUUGAUAGCAACCUAUUCUUAGUCCUGUGUUCAGACUUUCUGCCGUGUUUGAUAUUUUGUUUUACCUUGUGUGACAUCACCAGAUUCUUUUCCAUUCUAAUCUUUUUCCAAAUGCUUUUUUGUUAACUUCACUUGCUCCCUAACAUAAACGCAUGUGCCUUUAUGGUUUAUUUUCUACUUGUUUGUUUUUUAUCUCAAAAAGUUAGUGCAUUCUGACAUCCUCGAAUAGUCCUUCUAUGUUAACUUUCUUAUAUGUAUUUUUUCAACUUAAGUGUUUCACUUACAUUCUAUCCCCAUAUAUUCCCCUGCUUAAAGUUUAUCUCCAUUAGAAUGUCCUACUUCACUUUCAAUCACUUUAACCUCAAUAUGGUGAAAGUAAAAUCACCAACUUUCCCUAGGUUGCCUGUCUUUCCUUUUCUAUCAUUAGUACAACUAUUCUUCCAGCCUUCUUGGCUAGAAACCAUUGUAUCUUUAUGAAUCUUGUUUUGUAAAAAUUCCCUAUAAUCUAGUUCAGCAUUUUUUGUUGCUUCUUUUUAAUGUCUUAUCUACACUUACACCAAAUUCUUACUAGUAUUAUCCCAAUCCAGGCUCAUAUUAUUCAUAUUAUGCCUUCUUGCUAAGUUUCACCAUUGUUCUUUUAUCCAUUUUAGAUAGAAUUAACAAGCUUUUAAUCUAAAACGUCACAUCUAAGAUAUAUUUAUCCUGUUAAUGUUCUGACAGAAAACUUUAGUUUUCCUGUCUCCUGCUAGAUGACAUUGAAUUUCUCUGUUUAAAGUGUGAGAGUUUUUUAUUAUCUGAUCCUAUUUCACUUUUCUGGAUUUUUUCCUCUGGUUUCCAAAAACAUACAUACAUUUGAAUUAGUUCCAUUGUCUUUUAUUCACAACAUUUAUUUUACUGAAUCGUUACCUUUGAUUUUAUUAUGCACUUUGUCUCAAUGCUUCCAUUUCUUUUACCACACUUAUUGUGAUAGCAUACGAAAUACAUCUGGUCUUUGUUUCCAAUUCUUGUCACAGAGCUUUGAAAGCCCUCCAAAUUUCCUAAGUGAUAGGAAUAUAUUUUGUUUUUCAUAGUACACCUUUAAAAAAAAAAAAAAAAGGUGUAUUAUGAUGAGUUUAUGAUGAGUUUAUGUUGAUGAGGUGAAAUAGGGUAGGGCCCCUAGAUAGCCUCAAUAGUGGGUCUGAUCACUAAAAAGACCAAGCAACUAGAGGGUUAGAACUUUCAAUUCCACCCACCAACCUCUGGGAAGAAAGAUGUGGGGAUGGAGAUUAAGCUCUAUACAAACUCUUAAACAGUGAUAUUUGAUGAGCUUCUAGAUUGGUCAACACAUCAAGGUGCUGGAAGUAUAGCAUGCCCAGAGAUGAUGCAGAAGCUCUAUACCCCUUUCCCUUCUGCCCACCUUGCACUGUGCAUCUCUUCCUGAAUGGCUUUUUCUGAAUUGUAGCCUUUAUAAUAAACUGGUAAAUGUAAGUAAAGUGUUUUCCUGAGUUCUGUGAGCCAUU
ensembl:lincRNA